CUUUGUUUUUAUAUGUUUCAUAAAUGUGAGGUUAGGGCAUGAGGUUUAUACUGAGACAUGUUUGCUUCUCUCAUGCGACUCAAAACUUUAUCCAUAUCAGCAAGCGUUAAUGUCUAUCAUGAUAAAUCUGAUUCAUCCCCACCUACAAUCAUAUUUCUUUGACUGCGUUUCCGAAAGAUUAUUUUCUCUCUGCAUCCAUCCGGAGAGUCAUUCAGAGGUUAUCAUUUUUGGGUCUGUUGUUAUUGGAUAUCAUGCUCCAGUUCGGGACGCCAUUGGUCUGGUGCUUGUCAGUCUGUGGCGCGCCGACGCUCGUGAACGCGCUGCGCAGACAGUGCACGACACGCGAGUGGCCAGAGAGUGUCUGGAGUCUGUCUGAAACUGAUAAAAAUGGUGAUGAUGGAGUUCAUCCAGAGUCUCGCUCAUACUCAUUAGCAAAACAAAGGGAGACAGAGCGGAAUUAUACAAUCAUCCAACACUCUGUAGUCUGAUCGUAGCUCGAAAACUAGAUUCUAUUGUAGCGCAUUUCAAAGUUUUAUUCCAUGUUUUUCACCAGACAGACAGUUCAUUAAUGCACAGGCAGGAGGAUUAUGUUUCUGAAGACCUCUUGGAGCUGUCACAGAUUCAGCGGCACUUAAAGGUGAUACCCGUGUUCUGCGGCUGUGCUGCCGUGCUGACGGUAGGUUUAAAAGGGCAUUUCCCACCCAGUACUCUGUGAAGCACAUUUGGGCAUGUCAUGGAGAGAGAGGUGGAACGGCAGGAAUGCAGAGAGAUGUGACGUUUGAAAUGUUGCUGAGUAAUCGCACUUUCAGCUUGGCACACCAAUCAUUUCCAGCACUCGCUUCCUAUAUGAAUUUCUAACUGAUUUCUUCAUUGAACACAACGAUUAGACAGGUUGAUUAAUGCACAGGUAAAGAAACAAAAAAAAAAACAGAGUCUGGCAUAGAAAAAGCCGAAUGUUUGAAUGUGAAGGUUACAGGGAGACUCUAGAGAGAGAGAGACUCAAAUAGUCAUUUUCUGUGACUUCAUAUGGAAGGUUAAAAAGCUGCAGAAAUGAUUUUUUUGUGAGAAAUGAUAUCUCUCAAAAUGAAGAUGGCAGACAUUUUUGUUGUAGGGUCCAACAGCGCCCCCAGGUCUCUCUGGAGCUCUUGUAGAGAGUGAACUUAUGGAUUUUGUGUGUGAAAGAACAAGGCUCUCACUCUCCUGCAUUACUUGCAUAUAUUCAAUAUCAAAGCCACAAUGGCAUUUUAAAGGGACCACUGGCAGGCAGCCAAAACAUAGAGCCUCUCUCUUUUUGGUGGCUGUCGUGGCUUUCUUGCUUUCUGCCUUUAACUCAUGCCCUCGUGCUGAUGGCAGCACAGUGUCUGACUCUUCUCAAAGCUUAACCCAAGUGCUGGAGCGAGACAUUGGAUGUAUUAGGACAACUGCCUCCAUUUUAGGGAGGAGUUUUGCAGAGGAAGAUGGAUACCAUUUCCACAGUACCAGAAUCUGCAGCACGAUUCAGUUCUGACUAGAGGCAUCGCCUGCACUAUUUAGUUAUGAUUUUGUCAUUCAAUGUUCAUUUGUUACCCGGAUGUGGUACAUUUUCCUGAUAUUUGCUUUGAUUGCAUUUGUUGUGUUAGGAGAUUAGAUGGAAGAAUAUGAAUUGUGCUUUGGGUGCAUAGUUUACCAGUCUCGAAUAAAAGCAAAUGUGCUUUUUAUAGCUCUACUUUUGACUUUCCGCAUAGCUGUUACUAUGACUUUUGUUUUUUAAACGCACACAAAAAGAUUUGAAUCUUCUUCUUUUUAAACGCAUUUCUGGAUUUGAUAUAACUAAAAAUCAAAAUAUCAAAAUGAAAUGGUGCCUUUAGGCCUUCAGGAUUUUACUGGUAAAUGAUGAUGUGCUCUAAUCCGCUGUGAAAUGUUAUUUGUCUUAUUUUUUUGUAUAUUACUCAUGCAUAUGCUGCAUUUUUUUUUUUGAUACCCAAAUAGCAAAUGAGAUAGUUUGGCCCUAAAAUAUAUUAAAUUACAGAUUGCUUUAGAAAGAUUCAAC
ensembl:lncRNA